AUCGAGUGGCGGACGGGUGCGUAACACGUGGAUGACUUGCCCUGGCGUGGGGGAUACCCGCUAGAAAUAGCGGCUAAUACCGCAUGCGUUGGCGCUUCUGUGGGAGCGUCAAGAAAGCCUUCGUAAGAGGGCGCGCGAGGAGGGGUCCGCGGCCGAUUAGCUAGUUGGCGGGGUAAGAGCCCACCAAGGCGACGAUCGGUAGCUGGUCUGAGAGGAUGAUCAGCCACACUGGGAUUGAGAACGGCCCAGACCCCUACGGGGGGCAGCAGUGAGGAAUCUUCCGCAAUGGGCGCAAGCCUGACGGAGCAACGCCGCGUGGAGGACGACGGCCUUCGGGUUGUAAACUCCUUUUCUAUGGGACGAGGUGUACGGACGGUACCAUAGGAAGAAGUCUCGGCUAACUACGUGCCAGCAGCCGCGGUAAUA
rnacentral:rRNA from 1 species